AUUGAACGCUGGCGGCAUGCCUUACACAUGCAAGUCGAACGGCAGCACGGGAGCAAUCCUGGUGGCGAGUGGCGAACGGGUGAGUAAUACAUCGGAACGUGCCCAAUCGUGGGGGAUAACGCAGCGAAAGCUGUGCUAAUACCGCAUACAAUCUACGGAUGAAAGCAGGGGACCGCAAGGCCUUGCGCGGACGGAGCGGC
rnacentral:rRNA from 1 species